AUGAACGCCGGCGGCAGGCCUAACACAUGCAAGUCGAACGGUAGCACAGAGAGCUUGCUCUCGGGUGACGAGUGGCGGACGGGUGAGUAAUGUCUGGGAAACUGCCUGAUGGAGGGGGAUAACUACUGGAAACGGUAGCUAAUACCGCAUAACGUCGCAAGACCAAAGAGGGGGACCUUCGGGCCUCUUGCCAUCAGAUGUGCCCAGAUGGGAUUAGCUAGUAGGUGGGGUAACGGCUCACCUAGGCGACGAUCCCUAGCUGGUCUGAGAGGAUGACCAGCCACACUGGAACUGAGACACGGUCCAGACUCCUACGGGAGGCAGCAGUGGGGAAUAUUGCACAAUGGGCGCAAGCCUGAUGCAGCCAUGCCGCGUGUAUGAAGAAGGCCUUCGGGUUGUAAAGUACUUUCAGCGGGGAGGAAGGUGUUGUGGUUAAUAACCACAGCAAUUGACGUUACCCGCAGAAGAAGCACCGGCUAACUCCGUGCCAGCAGCCGCGGUAAUACGGAGGGUGCAAGCGUUAAUCGGAAUUACUGGGCGUAAAGCGCACGCAGGCGGUCUGUCAAGUCGGAUGUGAAAUCCCCGGCUCAACCUGGGAACUGCAUUCGAAACUGGCAGCUGGAU
rnacentral:rRNA from 1 species